rnacentral:rRNA from 1 species
AUACGGAGGGUGCAAGCGUUAAUCGGAAUUACUGGGCGUAAAGCGUGCGUAGGCGGAAUUUUAAGUCUGAUGUGAAAUCCCCGGGCUUAACCUGGGAACUGCAUUGGAUACUGGAAAUCUAGAGUAUGGUAGAGGGUGGCGGAAUUUCUGGUGUAGCGGUGAAAUGCGUAGAUAUCAGAAAGAACACCAAUGGCGAAGGCAGCCACCUGGGCCAAUACUGACGCUGAGGUACGAAAGCGUGGGGAGC